rnacentral:rRNA from 1 species
GAGUCUAGCAUGCGCGCGAGUCAUCGGGAACGAAUAAACCCGUAGGCGAAGUGAAAGCGAAGGGCCGUUUCGCGCGGCCCGAGGUAGGAUGGGCGUCCCCGCGGUCCUAAACGGCCGCGGGGCGCUCCGCACUACCGGGGCGUCUCGCGCUCAUCGCGAGCUGAGGCGCACCUAGAGCGUGCACGCUGGGACCCGAAAGAUGGUGAACUAUGCCUGGUCAGGACGAAGUCAGGGGAAACCCUGAUGGAGGUCCGUAGCGAUUCUGACGUGCAAAUCGAUCGUCGGAACUGGGUAUAGGGGCGAAAGACUAAUCGAACCAUCUAGUAGCUGGUUCCCUCCGAAGUUUCCCUCAGGAUAGCUGGCGCCCGGAGCUCUCUCGAGUCUCAUCCGGUAAAGCGAAUGAUUAGAGGCAUUGGGGUCGAAACGGCCUCAACCUAUUCUCAAACUUUAAAUGGGUGAGAUCUCCGGCCUGCUCGAUAAAUCAUUUGAUGUGAGGCCGGAGAUCGGAUCAGGGUGCCAAGUGGGCCACUUUUGGUAAGCAGAACUGGCGCUGUGGGAUGAACCAAACGCCGAGUUAAAGCGCCAAAAUCGACGCUAAUGGGACACCAUGAAAGGCGUUGGUAACUUAAGACAGCAGGACGGUGGCCAUGGAAGUCGGA